CUCAAUUUUGUAUGUUGAAGACUUUUGUUGUCUCUGUUUGAAGAAUUUGCUGAAGAUUUUCUCUGAAUUUCCUCAACCCAAAUUCUUCACAUCUGUUAAUCCUCACAUCCUUACUCUGUGCCUGCAUAUUGUGCAAACUGUUUUCCAUAAUCCUCAUCAAAAAACUGCUGUUGUAGUCUUUGCACUUCUGAUCCUUUGCUGUU
rnacentral:lncRNA from 1 species